rnacentral:rRNA from 1 species
GAUGAACGCUGGCGGCGUGCCUAAUACAUGCAAGUCGAGCGAACGGACGAGGCGCUUGCUGCUCUGAUGUUAGCGGCGGACGGGUGAGUAACGCGUGGAUAACCUACCUAUAAGACUGGGAUAACUUCGGGAAACCGGAUCUAAUAGCGGAUGAUAUUUUGAACCGCAUGGUUCAAUAGUAAAAUACGGUGUUGGUGUCACUUAUAGAUGGAUCCGCGCUGCAUUAGCUGGUUGGUAAGGUAACGGCUUACCAAGGCAACGAUGCAUAGCCGACGUGAGAGGGUGAUAGGCCACACUGGAACUGAGACACGGUCCAGACUCCUACGGGAGGCCGCAGUAGGGAAUCUUCCGCAAUGGGCGAAAGCCUGACGGAGCAACGCCGCGUGAGUGAUGAAGGUCUUCGGAUCGUAAAACUCUGUUAUUAGGGAAGAACAGAUGUGUAAGUAACUGUGCACAUCGUGACGGUACCUAAUCAGAAAGCCACGGCUAACUACGUG